rnacentral:rRNA from 1 species
CCUACAGGUGGCAGCAGUGAGGAAUAUUGGUCAAUGGACGAGAGUCUGAACCAGCCAAGUAGCGUGAAGGAUGACUGCCCUAUGGGUUGUAAACUUCUUUUAUAUGGGAAUAAAAUGUUCCACGUGUGGGAUUUUGUAUGUACUUUAUGAAUAAGGAUCGGCUAACUCCGUGCCAGCAGCCUCGGUACUACGGAGGAUCCGAGCGUUAUCCGGAUUUAUUGGGUUUAAAGGGAGCGUAGAUGGGUUGUUAAGUCAGUUGUGAAAGUUUGCGGCUCAACCGUAAAAUUGCAAUUGAUACUGGCAGCCUUGAGUACAGUUGAGGUAGGCGGAAUUCGUGGUGUAGCGGUGAAAUGCUUAGAUAUCACGAAGAACUCCGAUUGCGAAGGCAGCCUACUAAACUGCCACUGACAUUGAUGCUCGAAAGUGUGGGUAUCAAACAGGAUUAGAUACCCUAGUAGUC